UUUAAAAUAAAUUUAAUGUAGUAAUGACUCCAUAUUUUUAUUCAUAAACUUCAAUUUUUUUGGUUAAUUAUUUGUCUCAAAAAAUAGAUUAAACAAAUAUGUAAAGGGUGCUUGUGUUAUGAAGGGCAUUAUUGAUAAUCCAUAUUAAUAGCAAAUACUGAAUUGAUAACAAAAGAGUUUAAUCAAGCACAAAUAAUAAGAAAAGAGACACUUGUCCCCUGUUCUGCAGUAACUGCAUUAGUCUCUCUUCCAAAGACUACUGGCGCUAGCACUGUUUAUUGACCCAAUCAACCCAUAUAAAUUAAAUUAAGUUGAAUUGAAUUAAAUUGGAUACAUUUGAUUAGAUUGAGUUUGCCUACUCUUUGAAUGCAUCGUCUUAUAAAUAAGACAGCAUACCAUUCUAAUAAUUAUCAAUGGAUGUGAUAAGUGUGCCGAUGUAAUAAUAAUUCAGGGGGAAAAAUAGCUUUCGUGUCGUAUUGAUAUUUGAAAUCUUAGUCACCAUUUAUUUUCUAACGUUUGCUUGCGGCUGCUAUGUGCCACUAACCAAAUUUCCAUUAAACAGAAACAGAAAGAUCCUUUUCUUUGUCCAACAAGUUAAAGCAACCCUUCGUAUUUGAAAUGAAGAAAGCUACAAAAGUACAAAUCAUCACGGAAAUGAUAGCUAGCUUUAUCUACACUUUAUAUGGCAGCCGCAGGCAAGGAAAUUAUAUUUUAUGAAGAAUUCUCAGAUGUGGAGAUUCUAAAAUUCAAAGUUAUUGAUAAUCAAUGAAAUACGUCAAAAUACAAUCAUAACAGAAUAUAAAUAGAGUGUGUACAAAUUAAUGUGACGUGAAAAAAUUAGUGAUAUAAAAUAAUGAGUCUACUUAAAUGUAAUUUUUGGUUUGGUGGUAAAAAAAAAUUUCUUAUUAUGAGAGGAAGAGUUUUAGUUCUGUAUAUAUGAUAUUACAUACAAAGUCAAGAGAUUUUAUCAACAGAAUUAAUGAAUACUCAUCUCUCACACACAAAACAAAAAUAAUAAUAAAUAAAUAAGUGUAAAGUAAAUUUCACUCUUAUGGUACAGUCAAGUGGCUUUAGUCUUUUAUUUGUUUAGCCACCUAAUUUAAUUCUUAAAGAAGGUAAGGUUUAUGGGGGUUAAAAAUUAUACUGUAAUUGGGCCCACCUACCCACUUGCCUCUAAAGAAAAAGACAAAAACAAUGUGUAAGAUAGAUUUCUCUUUGGGUAGUUUCAAAAUAAAUUUCAAACCAUAAAAAAAUUGUCUAAUUAGUUCUAAAUAAUUUUUUAUAUAAAAAUACAGAUUUUAUCACAUGCAAAUAUCUGAAUUUAAAUACUCUAUACUUGCUUAAUUUGUUAUUUCUUUUUAUUUACAAAUACAAUAGCACAAAUCUAAUACGUAAAAUCAUGAAUCUUAUAUAUAAUAAGUUAUAAUUUUUACAUUUAACUUAAAAACUACAAUAUUCUCAAAGGACUAGACAAGUAAUUUUCAAGUAAAAUUUAUAUCAACUGACUAUUUGAGUUAAAAUCUUAAAUAGCUAAAAGGAUUAAGAAACUGACUUGGGAAAAUAAAUUAGGUUUUUAAUAGUUUGUUAUUUGUGUCAUAUUAAAUUUAUUUGCAUUGCCUUUUAGUGAACUUUUUCUCAUCACUUAUGAUCACUUCCCUUUACUGCUUUCUAAUUUAUCUUUUUCAGCAGUUAUGGCAGAAGUCAAUGUUUGCUAUAACACUUGGAAAGAAUCUAAUAAUUGCAAAGAACAUGGUGCUUUUUCACACUUGAGAAUUAAGAACAUAUACUACACCUGUUUCGUAACUUGUAUGAUUUUGUGUUGAAACUUGCAAGCAAAGCCAUGGUACCUGUUCUUGUUUUUUUUUUUACAAUUUUCGUAGGCUCCAUGCUGUCACCUAGUGUUUUAAUCAAAUAAGGUACAUGCUUUAAAAAACUUUAUUCAUCGCAAAAAAUAAUUUGGAGGGAUAAGUGGAUCCGAUAUUUAUCGCAACAAAUUAUUAUCAGCCGUUAGAUAAAACAAUAAAGCAUCCAACAAUCCAAUUAAAUAGAUACAAAAAGUAUGGUAUAAUACAACUAUUAUAACAUAGGUGGAUCCUAUAUUUAGAUUAGCACUUUUGAAAAAGAGCAUUUGUGAAUACCUUUUAUCACGCGCGGGCACCAAAAAAAGAAAGAGUUUUCAGUUACAAUAUACUUAAUUGAGGAUAGCUAAUUUGCGUCAGGGGUUUGGUACCCCAGUCCUUUGUCUUAUAGUAAAUGAGCCUUUGGAUAUAAUCCCACGGUUGCAGAAGUGACACAAAGACAAUUGGAGGUAACCGAAAAAAAAGGUAAUGGGCCGGUAACGUAGAGGGGAAAGAAGAAUUUGAUAAUGGGUCCAAGGUGAGUUAAGGAGACGUAUAUUGAAACAAACAGCAAACUGGUGGAUGCAACUAUUGGUUGAAAGCAAUUUGGUGGAAGCGUCCAACUCUGGGUUGAGCUAAGAUGGAAGUGAAAUUUCGAAAAAAGUGAUGGAAAUUUUUUGGAAGAGACGAGGCAAUGCAUUGCGAAAGUAGGAAAGUAAUUGGUGGGGAAAAAAGGGGAAAAUUCUCUAACCCUGAGGUUUGAAGUAAUAAUUAAUUUUAAUUUUAUCCAUGUAGUUUAAAUAGUAGGCCAUGACAUUCCCAUAAUAAUAAUAAUAAUAAUAAUAAUAAUAAUAAUGCUUAAUAUUAUAAUUAUGACGAUGAUGAUGAUGGUGGCGAUGAUAAAUUGUGUAAUAAAAAAAAUUAAAAAGAGUAAAUCAUCAACCAAGAAAUGGAGGCUCUAUUGAAAUGAAGGAUAAAUUAAAAAAGGAAAAAAGGAUGAGAAAAAUAUCAUCGACAUUGUAUUUUAACAAGUUUCGUUGACAGUCCCUAUUGAUUAUUGUAAGUAAUAGAAACUAUGAGUUGUUUAGUCCGUUACAAAAUAAGCCCCAAUUAAACUGUAAUAAUUAAAAAAUUAAUGAAAUUAUAUGACAUGUUAUUCAGUGGUCCUUAUUUGUUUCGGUAAAGAGUUUAAAGUAAUAAGUGCAAAAUAAAAAAUAAUAGUUUCAGUAGACGGAAAAAAUUGUGUUGUAUAUAUGCAUCAGUUUUUGGUGAGUCCGUUCUAUUGUAAAUCCUAAUUUGUUAAGUAUAAAAUAUAUAAUUCUCCUAAUAUAGUAACAAACGGAAGGUCUUGUAGUAUGAAUUAACUAUUUUUCUCACUUUAAAACCACCAGCUAGGGGUGUUCAGAAUCAAAUCUGAUCCGCUCAAUCCAUCCGAUCCGUAAAAAUCUGAUCCGUGGAUUGGUGGAUGAGAUUGAAUUGAAAAUUUAAAAAUCCACAAUCAAUGGAUUGAAUAUGGAUUUGUCUCUGUAAAUCCGCAAAAAUCCGUGAAAUCGGGAAAAAGUAUUUAUUU
rnacentral:lncRNA from 1 species